AUUAGUAUAUUAUAUUGUAUAAAUUUAUUAUUUUGAUAAGUUUUUUUAAAGAAUUCGGCAAAAUUAUUAAUAUUCGCCUGUUUAACAAAAACAUGUCUUUUUGAUUUUUUUUUAAAGUUUAACCUGCCCACUGAAUUUUUGAAUGGCCGCAGUAUAUUAACUGUGCAAAGGUAGCAUAAUCAUUAGUUUUUUAAUUGGAAGCUGGUAUGAAUGGUUGGACGAGAUAUUAACUGUUUCAUAAAAAUUUUAAUUAAAAUUUUAUUUUUUAGUUAAAAAGCUAAAAUAGAUUUAAAAGACGAGAAGACCCUAUAAAUCUUUAUAUUUAUAAUUAUUUUAAUUUUAUAAUUUUUUUUCAAUUUUAAUAAUUUAUAAUAUUUUAUUGGGGUGAUAUUAAAAUUUAAUAAACUUUUAAUUAUUAAAAACAUUAAUUUAUGAUUUAUUGAUCUAUUAUUAAUGAUUAAAAAUUUAAGUUACUUUAGGGAUAACAGCGUAAUUUUUUUGGAAAGUUCAUAUUUAUAAAAAAGAUUGCGACCUCGAUGUUGGAUUAAGAUAUAUUUUUAGGUGCAGUAGCUUAAAGGUUAAGUCUGUUCGACUUUUAGAAUCUUACAUGAUCUGAGUUCAAACCGGUGUAAGCCAGGUUGGUUUCUAUCUUUAAAAAUUUUUAAUACUUCAGUACGAAAGGACCUAUUAUUAGAUAAAUUAUUAUUUUAUAUUAUUUGAAUAUAAAUAAUUU
rnacentral:rRNA from 1 species